rnacentral:rRNA from 1 species
AACGAACGCUUGCGGCAGGCUUAACACAUGCAAGUCGAACGCAUCCUUCGGGGUGAGUGGCAGACGGGUGAGUAACGCGUGGGAAUCUACCCAUCUCUGCGGAAUAGCUCCGGGAAACUGGAAUUAAUACCGCAUACGCCCUACGGGGGAAAGAUUUAUCGGGGAUGGAUGAGCCCGCGUUGGAUUAGCUAGUUGGUGGGGUAAAGGCCUACCAAGGCGACGAUCCAUAGCUGGUCUGAGAGGAUGAUCAGCCACAUUGGGACUGAGACACGGCCCAAACUCCUACGGGAGGCAGCAGUGGGGAAUAUUGGACAAUGGGCGCAAGCCUGAUCCAGCCAUGCCGCGUGAGUGAUGAAGGCCUUAGGGUUGUAAAGCUCUUUCACCGAUGAAGAUAAUGACGGUAGUCGGAGAAGAAGCCCCGGCUAACUUCGUGCCAGCAGCCGCAGUAA